UAACCUAGGAAGGCCUUUGAAAUGUGUUUGAUCAGCACAGAAAGAAUCAGACUACCUAAAAACCAGAAAUGCAAAGAAAGUCACAAGACAUCGAGUAAAUGGCAAAGUGUCAAGAACAUAAUGCAGCUACAACUAAGAAUUAGAUGGAGAAUACAAGUUAUCUAAAAGCCGGUUUCCAAGACCUUUUCCAAUGAAAUAUUAGUACACGUAAAAGUUCUUCAGACUAAGCCUGACUUGCAGAAGCCCUCUAUCGGGUGCUUCUAGUAGGCUGUGACCAACUUUGUGUUUCCCACAAUAGCGCUAAACCACUGUGACGCAUCCUGCGGAUAAAACUGGACAUGUGGCACUUAAUACACCAAACCAGAAUCACCUACAGUGUCAGUUAGCUCAAGAGCCUUCCCAUCACUAUGUGAGGGCCCCUCCAGAGGGUAUCUGCAUUCCGUGUGAGGUUCAGAGAGAACAGAUGCUACCUGUGUACACACAGUGGUCUGCCUGCACACCGCAAGGACCGAGAUGCGCCUUGCAGGCUCAGGAAGUUGACUAGCCAGGAGAAAGCUUCAUGCCCUCUAUGAAAGGGAGCGUGUGGUUGGCAGAACCAGAAGUAAACAUGGAAAAUUCAUUCAAGAAUUUCCUGACGGCCUACUGUGCUGACGUUGGAGGCAAGUUAAGACGCUGGGAAGCAGAUUCCAAGGAGGAACUCCAAGGUCCCUGAAUCCCAAGAGGAGAAGGCAGCAGCGGCCUUGAGAUGGACCUGAGCUACUGAAACCUGAUAUUCACCAGUAUCAACUUCGAGAGUUCAGCCAGAUACCGAGCAGGACAACCGUCGGUUUCCUGUGAUGCUGGGAUCAGAUGAAGGCCUCUAGGAAGCCCAUACAUAGACCACAGUGGAUGGAAGAAUCUGGAUCACAGCUUGGGUCAGAGACAGUAAGUCUUAAACUUUAUAUAGUUAAGGGGAAAGAAGGGUGUCAAGUGGCCAUGGAAAUUUUUAUUUCCAUUAUAAAGGUAAUACUUGUUCAUUAAGGAAAAUGAAGAAAAUUUGGAAAACUAAAAAGCAGAAAUAAAAAACCAAAGAUAAAUACUGUUGACACUUUUUUGGUGUUUGCUAUACAGUAUAUGUGUGUGUGUGUAUACACACACAUAUAUGUAAUUGUGAACAUAAAAUAUAUAUUAUUUAGUAUAGUUAAGGAGCUCAAGUAUAUUUGCCUGUAUCUUCUACCUGGGUCCCAGAUAGUGCCUUGAAUUUUUUUUCUAAAUAUUUUAGUAUAAUAACUAAAGGAUGGACUGGUUGCUGAGUGCAGUUUCCUCCAGCACGGCUAAGCAGUGGUUUCUUGGUGGCUGAUAGAGAAGCCUUUUAUACCUCAGACCAUAACAGCUCUUAGCCUCCCUCUCCCAUUUCCCCAGCUUCCAAGGAAAACCAGGAAGGCUUUUUUCAGUCCUAAAUUAGAUCUCUAAUCCCCGCUAUGUGCCAGAAAGAAAAGAGAGAACUCUAUCCCUAUCAGUUGACUUGACCGGUUAAAAAAAAAAAAACAAACUGUUGCCGUCGAGUCGAUUUCGACUCAUAGUGAUCCUAUACUACAGGAGAGAGUAGAACUGCCCCGUACAGUUUCCAAGGAGUGCCUGGUGGAUUUUAACUGCUGACCUUUUGGUUGGCACCUGUAGCACUUAACCACUAUGCUACCAGGGUUUCCAGUUGACUUGACAUGUGUAUAAAUAGUAUAUUGUAGGCUUCAGUAGCCUUUGAGUACAAAUUAGGCCACAAAAAAGUUUAAUGCCUAAAUUGCAAUAAUUCUAAGCAUCCACUCACUUUAUUGUUGAAUCUCAGUUCCUCCCCCAUCUCGCCAUGGUGCGUUCUAAUUAUUUAAGCACUUCCCAAAGGGAUGUCUUAACUAUGGCUCACAAACCAGUCUGUCACCUAUAGUCAACCCACAGCAUCCUCUAUACUCUCGCUUCUCUCCUUUCCUGACAACCCUGGUUAAUGCCCAUUGCCUUUGAGGAUGCUUGAGGGAACCUUACUAUGAUCCCACUGAUGCUGUCUUUUAAGAAAGGGCUGAUGUCUGUGUCAUGGAUGCUGUUUGUGGUUGAUCCUGAAGCCACGGUGUCCUAAGGUUCCAGAGCUGGGCACCAUGAAAAGGAGAAGUUGCCUCUGACUCUACUCCGCAAACUCCAUAUACAUAUUGAAGCACUAUUUGUGUCCAAGGUCUUGAAAAGUCUUUGUAAAAGCAGCUUUUCACCUUCAGGCCUUUAGGAAUGAAUAGCUUUUCAACUACUCCAAGGAAGAAAGAGCAUGUACCUCCACAAGAGUUUGACAGACGAGACUGAGCUUGGUCUCAGUCCCCAAAGCAGUGUUUUCGAAUCUUGAAGAGUAUGAACCUUGGUUAGUUAGUUAAGGAUGGACUAUGCAGUGGUAGUAGCACACAAACCAUGAGAUCUUAGUGUUUUAACACAUAAAAGUUUUUUUUUUUGCUCACACAAAGUCCACUGGCGGCUCACGGCUCUCCAGGGCAGCUUCUUUAACAGUGCCUCAGAGAUCCAGGCUGAUUCCACCUGGGGACUCCACUAUCUCAACACAUGACCCCUAAGAUCAUCACAGCAGGGGAAGAGAGAGCAUGUGGCCUUGCACCUACCCUCCUAUACUCUGGCCUAGGAGCCACCUGGUCUUGCCUAACCACAAGGCAGGCUGGAAGAGUCAAGAGAGCACAUAGAUAUUUGGGGAACUUUAAAUAUCUCUGCCACGGGACCCUUCUUAUACACACCCAAGAAUUCAGAAAUCCCAAGAAUGAGAAAUGACUGCUUUACAAAACUGAGCUUUACUUAUGAAAAUGUCUUUAUCACUGUAGAAAUGUUAAUUAUAACUACAAAAGGUAAAUUUUACCGGUAGACUUUUUAAAAAAAGGAAAUAAGAAAUGUGACAUUAGACAGCAGUGAGCCCUAGCUGCUACUUACUAGAUAAUUCAGGUAAUACCUCAUCUGCUUCAAUCUUUACUGGAGCAUAAUGAGAAUAAAAGGAGGCUGAAUAACAGUAUGAUGGCAACUAUAUUAAAACAGAAACAAUCUCUAUGUUGAAAAAGAUGGAAAUUCACCAACACUGCACAUAGGCCUAUCAUUCAGUAAGUAAUGAAUACAUAUUUGUUUGAAAGAACAAAAGUGUGAAUAAUUGAAAAUGCAAAAAUAUUAAUGGCAGUUCACUUUGGGUGGUGCAACUAUAGGAGAUUUUUUUUUAAUGUUUUUCAAAAUUUCUAGAACAAGCCCAUAUUACUUUCAAAGGGAAGAAAAGCCCCUCUGUUUUUAAAUAUUAUUAAAAAGAAGCAACAGAUAAAGUACUUUGAAAAUAAGCAUAUUAUACAAAUAUAAGCUUGCAUUUAAAACUAAAUAUAUUCAGGUUUGUCACAAAUUCCACUUAAUGUUUUUAUAAAAAAAAUAUUUUUAUAGGCUCUUGUGAACGCUUCUCUUCUAGGUUACUUGUUGUUUAUUUAAUUGGGAAAAAUUGGUAUUUAAAAUUAUCUACCAUGAAUUUGGGGCAUUGAAAAACCUACCAGUAGGAAUUCCAUGGGAAACUCGAUGGGAUACCGAUUAAAAGAAAUUUUGAUACAUUUGUUGAUUCUCAGAGCGACUACAGCAGUUAGAAAUAGUAGGAUGCUGGUGGAAUUAGCUUUUGGUAGAGAUAGACAGUAGUUAAUUAUGUUCUGAAAGAAAACAAAAUUACAGAGGUUGAGCAAGGGACAUAAUUGCCUAAAUUUAGAAAAUGAUAUUCUUUCUAGAUUAGCUCAAAAAGAAGUCCUUAGGCAGGGUUGCUGGCCACAAAGGUCUGUACAAGCAUGACUACAAUAGUGAGGGCAAGCACUCCUGGAGAAAAUACGUUUUUUUAAAAGCUGAAAAAGAGACAGCGAUGUUCAAUAAGGACAGAAUACACUUUAUGUGUUUCAGUAUAACGGAAAUGACCUGGGAGUUCUGCUUGUUAGCCUAUUCAUCGUUAAUUUUCCUAGGCCAUGUUUGUUAUACGGAGUCCCCGGGUGAUGUAAACUGUUAAUGUGUUUGGCUGCUAACCAAGAGGUUGGAGUUUUGAGUUUACCUAGAGGUACCCUGGAAGAAAGGCCUGGUGAUCUACUGAGAAAUCAGCUAUUGAAAACCCCAAGUAGCACAGUUCUACUCUGGCACACAUAGGGUCACCAUGAACCAAAAUCUAGCUUAGCUCCUACCUCAUUUUUGCAUUCAUGGACUUCUUAGUAUUAUAUAUUCUUUCGCUGUUUUAGGAUACGUGCUGAUUACAUAGCAUGUAUUGGGAAGAAUUAUGAUAGAUACAGUAUGUUAAAGACCAAAUUCUUAUUGUGGUAAAAUAACAGUAAAACUUGUGAAAGCUGGAACACGUGGAAGGCGAAAACCUGCCAGAGAAGGAAAACAAAUAUUUUCCACUAAUAGAGGGCAAUACAAAAGUGGUAAGACUGUACCCUGUCAAAGGUGGAAAUUUUUCGAGACCCGGAAAAACAAGGUGGUUCCAUCAAGCUCCAGUUCUUACAGGUUUCACUGAAUAUAACAAGAUGUUUGCCAAGUAAUUAUUUUUGAGUGACAUUAGUUACAUUUGCCAUUUUAAAGAACAAAUUUUAAUGUAAAUCAUGUUAGUUAAAAUGGUGGGCUUGAAAUGGUUAAUGCAGCUGAGAGCAUGGUCCAACCGGCAUCUGCAAUUAACCAAGACCCCAAAUGUAGCAGAGAAGAAAUUAUUUCUAGAACCCUCUUAACACAGCUACUAUGGGCUGUGUCACCUUUUGGGAAUGGGCAAGUAUCUUUCCCCUUGGGUCCACUCCCCUUUGGAGACAAGGGGAAGGACAUUUGUAAUUUUUGGUGAGAGCUGAAAUUACUCACAUAAAAGAAGGCGACUGGACCAGCGUGGAAACUAAUCACAAUCCCGAGGAUGCAAGUCAGCUGGGACAGCAUGAUGUGUAGUGCCGUGGCAGCCAGGUAAGCAUUGAUGACAGACUCCGGAAGGUAAGUAGCAAUGAAACCAAAACCUAACACGCCCAUUGAUAGCUGAGGAAGUUCAAAUUGAAAUCAGAGUGAAAAUGUAACAGAAUGUCAUCAAACCAGCAGUGGCAAAGAUUAGGCUCCCUUCAGGGGCCCAAGGCCCUUUCUCAGAAAGAGGAGUUUCCAACAAAAAUUAAGUUUAGGCCCUUUUGAUAACUCUUCUGUGUUUCUUUCUCGAGUGAGCUACAAUUGAUGAGAUAAGGGGAGUCCUUGUGUGCUGAUUCAGAGGCUCAGAACAAGCAUUCCUUCCUUUUUUCUUCAGCUAGCUUAAAUUCUUGCCCUAGAAUCUACUAGAAUCUGUUCUAGGUUGACAUGGGGAAGCAAAGACAAGGUGAUCAGAACAAGCCUUUGCCUUUGUAAAGGCCCUUUUCUUCUAACUUCCAUAGUCCUUCUCAGGAGACAUUACAUCUCUGUGAGGAAUACAGCUUUCCACAGGGGAAAAAAGAAGUCAACAAAACUGGGCUCCAGCUCAACCUUCUUGGCUUUGACUCGUAUCUUUGCUAAAAUAGUUAAACUGAAUGUAUUUAUGUCUUCAAGUUUAUAUAUAUCCUGAAAGCAUAAAUAAAUACAUUUUGUGGAUCACAAUGGUCUGAUCUACAACCUUCCGUUGUGCAUUAGUGUCGCCGUAAGUCAGGCACUGACUCAACAGCAGUUAAUAACAACAGGAACAACACACACACCCUCCCCUGCAAAUAAUCUGAAAGGAUACACACCAGACUAUCUGUUAACAAAAGUUACCUUUGGGGAAUACUAUUAAAGGUUGGGAUGACACUUUGUACUUUAUAUACUUUUUAAUUUUUUGAGAUUUUUUGCAAUAUACGCAUCUAUCUUUUAUAAUAAAAAUGCAAUUAGAAAACUGAUGGAGAAUGGUUAAGCCCCAGUCCCCUUAAAAGGGUAGGUUAAGAAAACUGGGACAGCCCUAUGAAGACUAUUCAUAAGAGGGGAAGAGAAGAAUAAAAUGAAAAUCUUGAAGACUACUAUUGUCACCACUUCAUCCUCCAUUGCUUUAGACGCUCUUAGAAAACAAACAAACUUGGAACGAUGAAUCUUUUGAUCUGUUUUAAAGCUUUUCAUCAUCUGGGCACUGCAUCUCCCUUAAUCUAUCAUUACUGCCCAAUAUGCCCCUUACUCUAGUCAAGCUGAUCUGCUUCAUGUCUUCUAUGUGACUGGCCGAUCCUAUUGCUGUGCUGCUUUUUUUGCCAUUUCUGCCAAUCCAAUGCUCCUUUAUGAAGUGUGGAGGAAAAAGUAUUCCUGGACUUAGAGAAUCCGGCUUUAAUCCUGGCCCUGCUACUCACUGGCUGUGUGAGUUUGGACAAGUUACUCAAAUUCUCUGAGCCUCAGUUUCCUCAUCUAUAAAAUGUGAAUAAUAAUCAACACAGUGUUUGAUAUGGACUAAAUUACAUAAAACAAAAACAAACCCACUGCCCUCCGAUUCACAGCGACUCUAUAGGACAGA